rnacentral:rRNA from 1 species
AUGCUCCGGGCUGCCUCCAACACCGGGAUUCUGCAGCCGAUCAAGGCUCGUUCGACUUCCUGCAGAAUUUCACUUUACGUUGAUGACGCAGGCAUCUUUGCCAACCCUGUGAAGGAAGAAUUGGACGCCAUUGCGGGAAUACUUGCCUGUUUUGGGGAGGCAUCGGGUCUCAUUACCAACGUGACCAAGACGGAGGUGUUCGCUAUUCGCUGCCAGCAGAUUGACCUCGCCCACAUUUUAUCGGAAUUCCCUGUGAAGAUCGCUGCAUUCCCAACUAAGUACUUGGGCCUUCCCCUGCAUACCUCAAGGCUCAAGCGGGUUCAUCUGCAACCUCUCAUAGACAAAGCAAUGGGCAAGCUUCCGGGAUGGAAGGGAAAGAACCUUGCGAGGCCGGGAAGGGUCUCCUUGGCAAAGUCUGUGCUAUGCGCCAUGGCCACACAUCACCUCACUGCGCUCCCUCUUCCGGCGUGGGCCAACCAUAAGCUUAGCAAGAUCUCUCGCAACUUCAUAUGA